AAAUUACUGAUAGUUCGUAUCCAGUCGUCCUGGUGUAGUGGUUGUGUCGUGGCUUGAUAUGCUGAAGGUCUUGAGUUCGAAUCCCAGCAUUUACACUGGAUUUUUUCUACGUGAAUUUUGAUAGAUAGUCAUUUCCGUAUGAUUGUAUAUUUAAUUAUAAGUUUUAUAGUGGAUUUGACAUUCCCGCCAAAAUGUUACAGAACAAAGGAAAGCAUGCAUAACAAAGAAACUCAAACUGGGGUGAUCUGGUAGGGGUGAUCCGGCUCAGAUCACCCCUGUUAGAACAAAGGAGCUG
rnacentral:lncRNA from 1 species